UUUUUUCUUUUUUUUUUUUUUGGUAUAGAAAUGAUAGGAUUUUACGAAGUAUUUUAAUAACCAAACAUUAAACAACCACAACAAGUCACAAUGAGCCACGUCUUAGUAUUAACCUCAAUACAAAUACAUAUUGUAUUUGCAUUCGUCAGAGACAUCCAACUAAGUGGAGAUCAAAUGUCAUUAGAUCAACUCAUCGUAAGGUGUUGCAAUGUGGUUUUUAAAGUUCAAGUUAGGGAACAAUGAUUUUGUAAUUCUUCCUAAAAUCUAGAUGUCACAUAUUGACAUUGACUGUGACAUUAAAGGUCACAUAUUGACAUUGACUGUGACAUUAAAAGUCACCUUCUCAAACUCAUUCGUUUGACAGUGAAGCUAUAUUACAUUAGAUUUUUUUUUUUCAAAUACGUUUCCGACAAGAAGACGACUAAACUAAUACAAUGUAAGAAAGAGAUUCAAACUUAGGUACAAGAGGAUCGGUGCACUGCGGUGAUCAACCGGGGAAAAAACCUACUGAAGAAGGGCAAUAAUAAUAGAACAUCUGAGUUGCAAUUAGCAACACAUGUUAUUAGAAAAGAUAAUCGUCAUCCUCAUAAAUAGGAAAUGAAAAUGUCACCAGAUAUAAAGGGCUGUAUUGAAGAAAUUAUAUACAAUGAGGGGAGUAAGAAGAAAUUAUGAUGAUUUCAUAACACAUAUCCAUGACCAGACUUUGUGUUGAGCUCAAUGCACUGAGGUGAGGAGACUAAGGCCCCGUUUGGUAUUGUUUUUUUUUUUUUACUAAAAACUGCUUAACUUUAAAUUUAAGCAGUAAAAAAGUGUUUUGGUAAAAGUAAAAUAUCCUGCUUAUUUUAAAAGUAAUGUUUUCCAGACAACAACUUUUAAAAGCAGCAUGUAGGUUGCUUUUAAAAGCUGCUGUAAUAAAAAGCAGAGUUGGUUCUUUAAUAAUUAUUUUCAAUUGUUGUAAUACCUUCAUUAAUUUUUUUAAAUGACAUUGUUUAGCCUUCCACACACAUUCUGUCCCUUAGAGAACAAAGUAAACAUCACCACCUACCACUACAAAUACUAACCUCACACCUUUGUCACCACCACCGCCAUAACCACAAUCUCCACCACUGUCAUCACUACCAUCAUUGUCACCACCAUUACCGCAACCGCCACCAUUGCCACCACAACCACAAUUGCCAUUACCACUAUCAUUGCCGCCACCGCCGACACCACCAUAUCGGCAACCACCACCACCAUUACCAUCACUGUUGUCGUCACCCCCACUCCUACUACUACUAUGUCCAUUUGUGAUUGUAUACAAUUAUAUCACUUUUACAUUAAUUUUUACCAAAUGCUUUUGCGUUGCUUUUCAUACUCAAAGCACUUUUAAAAUUCAAUUAACAUCAACUUUAUUUUAUAGCUGAUUAUUCUUAAAGUAUAGUAUAAGCAGUUUUUUUUUAAAAGCACAACAAUCCCAAACUGGCCCUAAGUAGUGGCUGCUGCUUGUUCCUCCGCUGCCUCCGGUUGAAGGGUGCAUAUGAGGUUACGGUCACCAUACACAUUGUCAACUCGUCCUGAUACAACAGUUAACGAAAUUCAAUCGUCAAUAUAAGCAAUCGGAUAGCACCAAAAUGAAAGUAUAGCAAACACUUAGCAACUUCCAUGCCAUUGUAGUUUAUUUUUGGCGUAAAUUGCGUACCUGUAGUAGGCCAGAACUUGGAAGAACGGAGCCAGGAAGCGGGGAAGGCUGCAUAUUCCCGGGAAUAUGGCUUUGUCCAUGCAUCUCCGAUGAGCAGUGAUGGCGGGUGAGGAGCUCCCUGCAGAAGGAGUUCAAAAACCAUUUAUAUUUAAAAUGAGUAACUGAUAGUUCUUGGAGGAGAGAGAUGAACAGAACUUUUACUUUAAGGACGUUGUUAAGAAUAUCAGCUUUUCCUUUCUGAAUCAGAGCAAUCUCUUCUCUGAUGGAAAUUAGAGCAUCACAAAACCUGUCUAACUCGGCCUGCAAGCAAGAAAAACUAAUAUACUUUAGCUCGAAGAAAAACAUCAGAGAAAAAAAUUAACUGAAAUCUUUCUGUUGGGUUGUACCUUGCUUUCACUUUCUGUUGGAUCAAUCAUGCGAGUGCCAGGAACUGGCCAUGACAUUGUUGGUCCAUGGAACCCGUAGUCCAUAAGACGCUUGGGGACGUCCUCAGGCUCUAUCCCAGCAGUAUUCUACAAGGAAAAAAGAAGCAGCAGAGUUCAAUUAGAAAGAGAUUGAAAAAGCGGACAAAUCAAGGCAAAUGCUAAGAAUAUACCUUAAAUCCUUUCAAGUCAACAAUGAAUUCAUGGGCAACAGUUCCAUUGACACCAUGGAAAAGAAUGGGGUAGUAAUUCUGUAAGAAAUGACAGACAAAUUUAGCAUACAGAGGAAAUUUAACAUGGAGUAUAACCGUAAGCUCAAAUUGUAAAGCAAAACAAGAGUGAAGGAGCAAACUGGAACCUCCAAGCGUUUGGCCAUGCAGUUUGCAUUCAGAAUAGCUAUGAUGAUAUCUUUGAUGCAUCGGUGAGUCCCUUGGACCCCAUCAUGGCUAUGUAAGUAUAAGAGAUUGGCAAAAUAAGUGCAGAGCCCAAGGUGCGGCAGAGAUGGUUUCGAGUGGCUGAGACUUGUGGAGGGCAGGAGGGCCACCGGUAGAUACCAUGUGUACAAUGGCACAAUUUUUUUUGUUUGUUUAUAUUUUCCUCAUCCCCCAAGUCAAGUGCAAGAACUCUCCCUCUAGUGUGAGUCCCACAAUUUCUUACCAUAGACUUCACUCGAUCCUGACCGUUGAUUUUGUGUGAUGAGAUUGAAUGUGGAGAUGUUGAACAUCCAAGAUGGUGGUGUUUUAUGGCUCUUUGGGACCAACAAUGGCAUUUGCCUUAUGCAAGUGGACUUCACUUCAUCUUAUAUGUUCAUUCUUCAAAUAGUGAUAAGAUAGUAAGAUGAUAAACAUCUUUCCUUUUGUGUUGAUUGUGUGUUUAUGAAUAAGAUAUUGUGUGUUUAAGAAGUUGACAGACGUAACACAUGUGUACUGAGAAUGAGGAUACGAUAACCGUAAAAUAUUUGUUUAGAUGAAGGGUUGAAACAAAACAUAGAAAGAAGAAAAGUGGGCCUCAUUGCUAUUUUCUUUUUUUUUUGUUGUGCAUAUUUGGUAUUUAUGAUCUACAUAUCAUAUAAUUCAAAACUUGACAGCUGUAACACAUGUAGAUCUGCAUACUGAAAAUACGACGAGUGUAAAGUGUUUGUUUGAAACGGAGGUGUAAAAUAAAACAUGCAUUUAUUGUGUAUUUAUAAAUAAGAUAUUGUGUGUUUAAGAAGCUGACAAACGUAACUCAUGAGUACUGAGAAUGAGAAUACGACGAUUGUAAAAUAUUUGUUCAAAUGGAGAGGUGAAAUAAAACAUUCAUUUUUAUGUUGUGCAGAUUUUGUAUUUAUGAUUUGCGUAUUGUAGAAUUUAAAACUUGAUAGCUGUAACGCAUGCAACUAUCCUAAGCUAUUAGAUCAGCAUUACUAAGUUUAAUAUAUAAUCUCUCUCGCAUUGUAGACAAGAUAUUUGAUAUGGUAGCUCCGACUCUAAAGUAUUUCAUUAAGAUACUCAUUCUAUAAAUGGACUAUUAAAAAAACUAUAAAAAAAAAAGCAAGGAGAUGAAAAAGCUUGUUACGUCUCGAAUUGAGGACAGUGAAAAAAAAUAACCUCGUGGUUAAUUUAAAAAAAAUGAAAAUAAAACGAAAAUGAACUUCUAUUGUACAAUAAAUUUUGAAACUUUACAAGUGUACAAGAAUAAUAAAAAUAUUAUGCCGCUUUUCUAACACAAUUUCUGCUCUUCUACCAUUUAUUAAUUUUGUAUUGAAUAUGUAAGGUCUAAAAUGUAUAAGGGGAAGGACAUAAGUUUUAUCAAGGAUAAUUGUCAAGACUAAACCAACACAUAAUUCAAUCAUAUUUCAUGAUAUCAAAUAUCACCAACAUAAAUUAUAUUUCAUAAAUACAGCUUAACUUCAUUACAGUGACAAUUUAUCUCAAAUGCCAAAAACCUGCAUUUUGCUUGAUAGUUUGAGUAAAGGUUACAAUACUUUCUUUACUGUUGCUCACAUUUCUUGUAGUGAACGGAAGCGAAAUCAAGGUCCUUCCAAGUAUAUCUCUUGGACUCUCCAACAACUCAUCAAGAAGUCGCAAUCGGAUGUGUUCGAUGCAAAGAUUGACAGGCCUAUUGAGCCUGCAUGUACGACCAACACCUUCGAUCAGUUGCUCAAGAUCUUCAAGUAGUAGAUUGCAUGCUCGCAUACGUUGCACAGCCUUGCCUUCGUUGAUUACCAUUAAUUAUUUGUUUCUUAUUUAGUAUUUUCAAUUAAUUUUUGUGUUCGAGAUUUGUUAUAUAGACAUGUUUUCAAGUUCUACAACAUUCAGAACAUUGUUGUAAAUGUCGGCUUUUCCUUUUUCAAUCCGAGCUGAAGACUUAAGAGGUGGCUGCCGCUUGUUCCUCCACCGCCUAAGGGUGUAGAUGAGGUUGCCUUCACCACACAUAUUGUCAACACGCACAUCCAGAUAUUGUAUAGCUAUCAACGAAAAUCGUCACUAAAAGUAAUCAGAACAAUACCACACUGUACAUACCUGAAACUCCUCCAAGAAAUUGAUAUCUACGCUCACUAAAAAACCUAAGACAUAAACUUGGUCUCCACUAUUGAGAGUUCAUAGUGGAGACCAAGGAAUGAAUGAUCAUCCUUGAAUGAUCAUCCAUCCACAUUUUUUAAUUAGUGACCAAGGAGUGAAUGAUCAUCCAUCCUUGAAUUUGGAUAUGUUUUUAUUAUUUUAAUCUCAACCCUUAAUAUCAGAUCCAAGGGCAAAUGACUAUGAAUUCUUGGUCCCCAAGCAAUACAAGGUCAAUACUCCUAUGAUAUUGUUUUCUUAUUUAUCAAUUUGUUCCGAAUAUUAUGGUUUUUUGGACCAACUUGGAAACCCUUGCAGACUAGUAUUUGGAAACCCUUGCCGCUUUUACUCAUUAUAUUUACAUUGCUAGACUUUCUUAGUUUCUCAAUUCUUACCUUCCAGUUUGUUCUCUUCCCUAUUCUCAAUAUCUUCACGUCCAACUAGCUCUAGCUUUCAGAAAACCCUAGUUUUUUUCCUCUCGUCUAUAACAGUUUCUUCUGUUUCCAAAUAAACCCUAGCUUUCAUAAACCCCUAGUUUUGUUUCUUUCGUUUAGUCAAGGAGAAGUACAAACAAUGAAUCUUUCAAACAUUCUUCAAGAAAAGACGAGUAUGUUCAUCAAGAAGUUGAGCAAGUCCCAGUACUCCAAGAAAAGUUACACAGCUUUAAGCAAGCCCCAGCCCCCUAAGAAAGGUUAUAUCAAUGUGUACGUUGGACAAGAACGAAAGCUAUAUCAGAUUCCUUUGAAGUAUCUCUUGGAUCCAACUCUCCAACAACUCAUCGAGAAGUCGCAGCCGGAUGUGUUCGACUCAAAGAUUGACGGGCCAAUUGAGCUUGCAUGUACGACCCACACCUUCGACGAGUUUCUCAAGAUCUUCAAAAAGUAGCAGACUGCAUGCGUGCGCAGCCUUGUUUGAUUAAUAUUGAUUAUUUGUUCAUUUUUUUGUACUUUGAUUUAAUUUUUGUAUUCGAGGUUUAUUAGUUAUUGAUUCAGAUGCACAAAAAUUAACGUUUUUGUACAGCCUCUCAACCUCAUCCGUUUGACGGUGAGGAUAAAUAAUAUACAUUGAUUUUUUUUUUCAAAUAUGUUUUUGGCAAUCGGGCGCCUAAACUAAUCUAACGUAAGAUGGAGAUCCAAACUUAGGUGCAAGAGGGCCGACGCACUGCAGUGCCCAACUGGGAACAAAACCUAAUGAAGAAGGGCAAAAAUAAUUACAACAUCUGAGUUGCAAUUAGCAACAUGUUAUUAGAAAGGAUAAUUGUCAUCAUCAUAAAUAGGAAACGAAUGUCACCAGAUAUAAAGGGUAUAUUGAAGAAAUUAUAUACAAUGUGGGAGUAAGAAGAAGAAAUUGAUGAUGAUUUCAUAACAUAUCCAUGACCAGACUUUGUGUUGAGCUCAAUGCACCGAGCCGAGGAGAUUAAGCAGUGGCUGCUGCUUGUUCCUCCACUGCUUCCGGUUGAAGGGUGCAGACGAGGUUACGGUCACCAUACACAUUGUCAACGCGUCCUGACACAAUAGUUAACGAAAUUCAAUCGUCAAUAAAAGCAAUCAGAGAGUACCAAAAUGGAAGUAUAGCAAACACCUGGCAACUUCCAUGCCAUUCUAGUUUCUUUAUUUUUGGUGUAAAUUGCAUACCUGUGGUAGGCCAGAACUUGGAAGAACGGAGCCAGGAAGCGGGGAAGGCUGCAUAUUCCCGGGAAUAUGGCUUUGUCCAUGCAUCUCCCAUGAGCAGUGAUGGCGGGUGAGGAGCUCCCUGCAGGAGGAGUUCAAAAACCAUUUUUAAUUAUGUAAAAUGAGUAACUUAUAGUCUUGGAGGAGAGAGAUGAGCAGAGCCUUUACUUUAAGGACAUUGUUGAGAAUAUCGGCUUUUCCUUUCUCAAUCUGAGCAAUCUCUUCUCUGAUGGAAAUUAGAGCAUCACAAAACCUGUCUAACUCGGCCUGCAAGCAAGAAAAAUAAUUACUUGAACUCGAAGAAAAACAUCAGAGAAAAAAUCAAAGGAAAUUUUCUGUUGGGGUGUACCUUGCUUUCACUUUCUGUUGGCUCAAUCAUGAGAGUGCCAGGAACUGGCCAUGACAUUGUUGGUCCAUGGAAACCGUAGUCCAUAAGACGCUUGGCAACGUCCUCAGGCUCUAUCCCAGCAGUAUUCUACAGGAAAAAAAAGCAGCAGAGUUCAAUUAGACAGAGAUAAAAAAUGCGGACAAAUCAAGGCAAAUGUCAAGAAUAUACCUUAAAUCCUCUCAAGUCAACAAUGAAUUCGUGGGCAACAGUUCCAUUGACACCACGGAAAAGAAUGGGGUAGUAAUUCUGAAAGAAAUGACAGACAAAAUGAGCAAACAGAGGAAAUUUAACAUAGAGUAUAACCAUAAGCGCAAAUUGUAAAGCAAUACAAAAGUGAAGAAGAAAAGUGGAACCUCCAAGCGUUUGGCCAUGUAGUUUGCAUUCAGAAUUGCUAUCUUUGAUGCAUCAGUGAGUCCCUUGGACCCCAUCAUGGCUAUGUAAGUAUAAGAGAUUGGCAAAAUAAGUGCAGAGCCCCAAGGUGCAGCAGAGAUGGUUCCGAGUGGCUGAGACUUGUCAGGGACAGGAAGGCCACCGGUAGAUACCUUCAGUACAAUAGCACAAAACUUAGACAUCCAGCAUGUAAGGAAUUACAUUGUUUCUCAUGUAAACCAAAUUGAUUAUUUCUGAGUUUACAGAAUCGGUUGAAAAGCUUCAACGUUAAGAGUAGUUACCACAGGAUGGGAUGGUAAGAAGGGUGCCAAGUGCUUCUUCACACCAAUAGGACCCAUGCCAGGGCCACCACCUCCGUGUGGAAUGCAAAAUGUUUUGUGGAGAUUGAGAUGGCAAACGUCAGCUCCAAUCCAACCUGGGCUUGUCAGACCAACCUGCAAGAACAAAAAGCUUGUUAGAUUGGACAUGCGCCAGCAAAAGAAAACAGCCUGCAGGGCAGAAACUGUUUGAAUUUAUGUUUCAAGGACAUAACUAUCAAGCAUGGAUAGGAUAAGAUACAGACCUGUGCAUUCAUGUUAGCCCCGUCCAUGUAUACUUGACCCCCGUUGUCAUGAAUGAUCUUACAUAUCUCAUCAAUACCUUCUUCAUACACUCCGUGAGUUGAAGGAUAUGUCACCUACAAUUUGAAAUAUGGUCAAAUCUCUCCGAUCUUUUUGAAAUGAUAUAAAUCUUUUUUGACAUAGGAUUCUUACCAUAAAAGCUGAUAGGUUAUCCUUGUUUGCUUCAGCAGCCUUCUUCAGCUCUUCAAUGUUGAUGUUUCCCUUGGCAUCAGUUCCAAUAGUUACAAUCUUCAUUCCACACAUUGCAGCACUAGCAGGAUUCGUACCAUGUGCCGAGACAGGAAUGAUACACACAUUCCGGUGGCGAUCCCCUCUUGCCUACAGUGGGUAACCAGUGAAGGGUUCAGCAUGAUUAGUUACAAGGAUAAACCUUUAGGUCAAAUACUUUAAUUUAAAGUGCUCAUAUUGAGCUCGACAGCAAAGGCUUGCUAACAAAUAUUAAAAAAGGGAAAACAAAAGAAGUAAAACUCAGGAUUUCUUACAAAAUGAUAUGCCCGAAUAACCAUCAGCCCAGCAUACUCUCCAGCAGCUCCGGCAUUGGGUUGCAAAGAGAAAGAGUCAAAGCCAGUGAUGGUGCACAAUAGGUCACCCAAAUCUCUGAACAUUUCCUGAAAUUUAUUAUUUCACAGCAUAUGGUAUAAGAUUUCUAUUUACAUGAAGGAAAGCAACGUAACAAAAAGAAAUUCAGGGGAAAAAGUUUGAAACUGUUUAAGUUCAUUCGUAAGUAAACAUUUUUAACUACCUGAUAACCCUCAGCCUGUUCUGUAGGAGCAAAAGGGUGAAUAUCGGUGAAACUAGGCCAUGUCACUGGCAUCAUUUCAGUUGUUGCGUUCAAUUUCAUGGUACAAGAUCCCAAGGGAAUCAUACUGUGGCAUAGAGACAGAUCCUUCGAUUGCAACUUAUGCAUGUAUCGUAGCAACUCAUGCUCGGUAUGAUACCUAAUAGAGAGAAUGAAUUUAAGUCGAUUUAGUUGUCAAAUAGUAGGCUGUGAGAGUUCAAUCAUCUGGAAAGGGACAUACGAGUUGAAGAUCGGAUGGGUAAGGAAUGUGCUCUCCCUCGUUAACCCAGAAGGAAUUGCAGGCUGAACUUCUGGCGCAAGAGAUGCAGCAGUGAAAGGGACCUGGAAAUUAAACAAAUUUCUUACUAAAUGGAUGCACUUCAUAAUAAAUUGCAAAUAUCAUCUUUAUGGUAAAGAUAUAUACUUACAGGUUUUCCCAAUGCAAAAGCUUUGAAAAGCUUGUCAACAUCCUCCAAGGUAGUUGUUUCGUCAAACGAAACAGUGAUCUGAAAAGGAGUUAACUUUCAGUACCCUCGUGAUGUAAAAACACUCCAUCCUCUGUCCUCAGAGAAUAUUUAGUUAAAUAACUGAUGCAAGAGACAAAAAAAAUACUCACAGUGCUCGAGUCUACUACUCUCAAAUUUAAUCCAAGCUUGUUAGCAGCAUCAGAAAUUGCAUGUGCGUCAGCAACCUUAACCUUCACAGUGUCGAAGAAGGGAAGGCUCUGAACUUCCACUGUUCCAAGUUUCUUCAAUCCAACUGCAAACGCCCCAGCAAGACCAUGAACCCUUUGAGAAAUGGUUUUAAGGCCUUCGGGUCCAUGAUAUACAGCGUACAUGGCAGCCAUGUUUGCAAGUAAUGCCUAUAAAACAAAACAAAAAAUAUCCAAUCAAAUUGAAAUAUAUGAUUCCAUCAUUUGAUCGAAAAUUUCAAACUUUCAACAGUUCAUCCCCAAUAAAAAUCAUAAAACAGAUCAAACAAAGAAUAGUAUAGUACCUGAGCAGUGCAAAUGUUGCUGGUAGCUUUGUCCCUCCUGAUAUGCUGCUCCCUUGUCUGCAUAGCCAUACGCAGCGCAGGCUUCCCCGAGGAAUCAACACUAACACCAAUAAUUCUCCCCGGCAUCAUCCUCUUGUACUCUUGUGAGGUGGCCAGGAAAGCCGCAUGAGGACCUCCAUACCCCAUCGGAACACCAAACCUCUGCGCAGAACCAACAACAAUAUCCGCCCCAAACUCACCAGGCGGCUUCAACACUGUCAACGCCAACAGAUCAGUUGCCAUCACAACCUUAACCCCAUUGGCAUGAGCAUUCUUAAUAAACUCCCCGUAGUCCAAAACCUCGCCCUCAGUCCCCGGAUACUGAACAAGAACACCACAAACAUCACCGGAACUGUAAUCAACAUCCUUAAGAUCUGCGGUAACAACCUUAAGAUCGAAACCAUCAGCUCUAGUCUUGCAAAUAUCAAUGGUCUGGGGGUGGCAGUUGUUGGCAAUGACAAAAGUCUUCUUCUUUCCCUUUUGGAUGUUGUUACACAUCGCCAUUGCC
rnacentral:lncRNA from 1 species